rnacentral:rRNA from 1 species
UACGUAGGGGGCAAGCGUUAUCCGGAUUUACUGGGUGUAAAGGGAGCGUAGACGGCGAAGCAAGUCUGAUGUGAAAGGCAGGGGCUCAACCCCUGGACUGCAUUGGAAACUGUUUUGCUAGAGUGCCGGAGAGGUAAGCGGAAUUCCUAGUGUAGCGGUGAAAUGCGUAGAUAUUAGGAGGAACACCAGUGGCGAAGGCGGCUUACUGGACGGUAACUGACGUUGAGGCUCGAAAGCGUGGGGAGCAAACAGG